rfam:Schistosoma haematobium scaffold566_6, whole genome shotgun sequence.
AUCCAGCUGAUGUGUACUGGAUAGGACGAAACGCGAGUCCUGGAU